CGACCGAGCCAUUCCGACUCGCGCUGGGCGAAACCGGUUAGCCCCAGCCGCUCGAGCCCACCACCGGAGGCGGCCCGUCUCGUCCUCCCCGGAGCCCCGAGCUCCGCUCCGUCCAUGUCGCCGUCAUCGUCGUCGUCGCUGAUCCACGGCAUCUCCAUCUCCGUCUCCGACGACGAGGAGGCCUCGGGGAGGGUGCGGGUCCGCGUCCGCCGCAAGCGCCACCGCCACCCGGCCUCCGCCGCGCGGCGCCGCCUCCUCCGCCGCGCCGCGCGGCUGUGCGCCCCGCUCCUCCUCGCCACCCUCGCCGUCUCCCUCCUCCUCUACGAGUCCUACCGCCUCUCCCCGUCCUCCCCCACGCCGCCUCCGGCGGCCAACCUUACCCGCGUCGACCACACCGGCGCCGUCCGCGCCGCCGAUGGCGCCCGGAAGCCAUGCUUGAAGAUUCUUGGUCCUGAGAAGUUGCAGAAUCUGGAACUUCCUGAAGUUCCUGAACAAAAUCUGUCAGUCCAGAAAGUGGUGUACAAGUCCAGUCUGCUGCAUCUUGGUGAUGAUGAUUCAUCUCGAACAGAGAUAUCACGUUUUAACUCAUUCACAGGAUACCAGACUCUAAAUGAAAGAGAAGAAAGUUUCAAGAUGAAGGAACUCACAACUUUGCAUUGUGGCUUCUAUAACGAAAAUGGAGGGUUCAAAGUUUCUGAUGUUGAUAAAGAUUAUAUGAGGUCUUGUAGUGUCGUUGUGGCCACUUGUGCAUUUGGUGGAGGGGAUGACCUUCACCAGCCAAUAGGAAUGACAGAAGUAUCUAUAAAGAAGGUUUGCUAUGUUGCAUUCUGGGAUGAAGUCACUCGUGCAGCUCAAGAGGAGGAAGGGAACAAGAUUGGUGAAAACCUCAUGAUUGGCCUUUGGCGGAUUAUUCUUGUGAGAGAUCUUCCUUUCUCAGAUCAACGAUUGAAUGGGAAAAUUCCCAAGCUGAUAAGUCAUCGCCUUUUCCCUAUGGCAAGAUACUCAAUUUGGGUGGAUUCAAAAUCUCAGUUUCGGAGAGAUCCACUUGGAGUCCUUGAAGCCCUUCUGUGGCGUUCAAACUCUUCUUUAGCAUUAUCUGAACAUGGAGCUAGGAGUAGUUUGUAUGAUGAAGGUAAAGCAAUUGUUAAGAAGCACAAGGCAACUCCGGAAGAAGUUAAAAUACAAUUGGAUCAAUACCGACAAGAUGGCAUUCCAGAUGAAAAACGAUUCAAUGGAAAGAAAGCUCUCGCAGAAGCUUCAGUUAUUGUGAGGGAUCAUGCCCCUUUGACCAACCUCUUCAUGUGCCUUUGGUUCAACGAAGUGGUUAGGUUCACGUCCCGGGAUCAGCUGAGCUUCCCUUAUGUGCUGAGGCGUCUAAGGAUGCCUGGUGUCCACCUGUUCCCGGUGUGCGCCCGCAAAGACCUUGUUAACAGCUUCGGGCAUAGGCGCAAGGCGAAGCCUCUUGCCAGGGAGCGAAGAUGAGCUUCUGAAACUUACUCUACACUGCAAUUUUGGUAAUGCAAAGCAUCGAUCAGAUUAACCAGCUUAGUCUGCAGUUGUUAUCCCAUUCAUGAACUCUUGUGUAGAUGAGUAGAUGAUGCUAACGUAGACAAAGGAGCACGCACUCAUUCGAGAUACAGCCGUUGGAGGAUUUCCGGUCGAUUUUGUCCAAAUGUGUUCGCCGAGACAGGGUUCAAUAAAUACCCUGAACUUUACACAUACCUUUCGGGAUAGUGGAGUACUGUACUACUACUGCAUGUACCUACCUAUACUCAUCAAGCGUCUCUCUGCCCAACAUGGUGGUGUAUAUGCAAAAGUGAGAGGCUGACAUGAGGGAGGGGUACACCGUCACUGCGUGCCAGGACGCAUUUAUCAUCUUCAUUUACCCGUGUGUAUCUGAACUGAAGAAGGUUGGUAGGCGAAGUGAAUGCCUCUGUGUUCUGUGUGUAGUGUGUGCCCGUCUAUGGAAUGGGCGUGCAGGGAGCCAGAGAGCGUCUGCUCGCUUUGCCAAACGCUUCCAGGCAAAAACUUCUGCUGGACCAUGGCGAUAAACUUCUGCAGGACCAUGACGUUCUUCUGAUUGAGACAAUGUCCUGUUCUUGUUACUGUACUCGGUGGAGCAGACGUAACAGUGGACGUUUUGAUGAGCUACA